CCUGGGAACUGCGUUNUGAACUGGAUAGCUAGAGUGUNUCAGAGGGGGGUAGAAUUCCACGUGUAGCAGUGAAAUGCGUAGAGAUGUGGAGGAAUACCGAUGGCGAAGGCAGCCCCCUGGGAUAACACUGACGUUCAUGCUCGAAAGCGUGGGUAGCAAACAGGAUUAGAUACCCUGGUAGUNCACGCCCUAAACGAUGUCGAUUAGCUGUUGGGCAACUUGAUUGCUUAGUAGCGUAGCUAACGCGUGAAAUCGACCGCCUGGGGAGUACGGUCGCAAGAUUAAAACUCAAAGGAAUUGACGGGGACCCGCACAAGCGGUGGAUGAUGUGGAUUAAUUCGAUGCAACGCGAAGAACCUUACCUGGUCUUGACAUGUACGGAACCUUUCAGAGACGGAAGGGUGCCUUCGGGAGCCGUAACACAGGUGCUGCAUGGCUGUCGUCAGCUCGUGUCGUGAGAUGUUGGGUUAAGUCCCGCAACGAGCGCAACCCUUGUCAUUAGUUGCCAUCAUUUAGUUGGGCACUCUAAUGAGACUGCCGGUGACAAACCGGAGGAAGGUGGGGAUGACGUCAAGUCCUCAUGGCCCUUAUGGCCAGGGCUUCACACGUCAUACAAUGGUCGGUACAGAGGGUAGCCAAGCCGCGAGGUGGAGCCAAUCCCAGAAAACCGAUCGUAGUCCGGAUUGCACUCUGCAACUCGAGUGCAUGAAGUCGGAAUCGCUAGUAAUCGCAGGUCAGCAUACUGCGGUGAAUACGUUCCCGGGUCUUGUACACACCGCCCGUCACACCAUGGGAGUGGGGGAUACCAGAAGCAGGU
rnacentral:rRNA from 1 species